rnacentral:rRNA from 1 species
GAUGAACGCUGGCGGCGUGCCUAAUACAUGCAAGUCGAGCGAAUGGAUUAAGAGCUUGCUCUUAUGAAGUUAGCGGCGGACGGGUGAGUAACACGUGGGUAACCUGCCCAUAAGACUGGGAUAACUCCGGGAAACCGGGGCUAAUACCGGAUAACAUUUUGAACCGCAUGGUUCGAAAUUGAAAGGCGGCUUCGGCUGUCACUUAUGGAUGGACCCGCGUCGCAUUAGCUAGUUGGUGAGGUAACGGCGCACCAAGGCAACGAUGCGUAGCCGACCUGAGAGGGUGAUCGGCCACACUGGGACUGAGACACGGCCCAGACUCCUACAGGAGGCAGCAGUAGGGAAUCUUCCGCAAUGGACGAAAGUCUGACGGAGCAACGCCGCGUGAGUGAUGAAGGCUUUCGGGUCGUAAAACUCUGUUGUUAGGGAAGAACAAGUGCUAGUUGAAUAAGCUGGCACCUUGACGGUACCUAACCAGAAAGCCACGGCUAACUACGUGCCAGCAGCCACCGUAA